AUUCCUGUACUGUGUUCAAUCGUUAAGAGCGAAGGAGGGACGCAGGAGGUGAAGCACGCAUCGCGAUGGAACGAUGUUCAAGCGACAAGUGCGGUUAAGAGUCAAAUGCUUCUAACCAGCAACACGAGUCGUGAUGAGGAGCGAAAUAAAAGUAGCGAAGGUGUGGUAGUCACACUGCCAAGAAAAGCUUCUAGCCAGAGAGAACAUACCCGUACCGCAAACCGACACAGGUAGUCGAGUGGAGAACACUAAGGUGAGCGAGAGAACUCUCGUUAAGGAACUCGGCAAAAUGACCCCGUAACUUCGGAAGAAGGGGUGCUGGCCAUGAGAAUGGUUAGCCGCAGUGAAUAGGCCCAAACAACUGUUUAUCAAAAACACAGGUCUCUGCAAAAUCGUAAGAUGACGUAUAGAGGCUGACACCUGCCCGGUGCUGGAAGGUUAAGAGGAGAGCUUAGCGCAAGCGAAGGUUUGAAUUGAAGCCCCAGUAAACGGCGGCCGUAACUAUAACGGUCCUAAGGUAGCGAAAUUCCUUGUCGGGUAAGUUCCGACCUGCACGAAAGGUGUAAUGAUUUGGGCACUGUCUCAACGAGAGACUCGGUGAAAUUAUAAUACCCGUGAAGAUGCGGGUUACCCGCGACAGGACGGAAAGACCCCAUGGAGCUUUACUGUAGCUUGAUAUUGAGUAUCUUUUAAACAUGUACAGGAUAGGUAGGAGCCAAGGAAAGCAGGACGCUAGUUUUGCUGGAGGCAAUGUUGGGAUACUACCCUUGUUUGAAGGAUGCUCUAACCUCGACCUGUAAGCCAGGCCAGGGACAGUGUCAGGUGGGCAGUUUGACUGGGGCGGUCGCCUCCUAAAGUGUAACGGAGGCGCUCAAAGGUUCCCUCAGAAUGGUUGGAAAUCAUUCGCAGAGUGUAAAGGUAUAAGGGAGCUUGACUGCGAGAGAAACAGCUCGAGCAGGUAGGAAACUAGGACUUAGUGAUCUGGUGGUACCGCAUGGAAGGGCCAUCACUCAACGGAUAAAAGCUACCCUGGGGAUAACAGGCUUAUCUCCCCCAAGAGUUCACAUCGACGGGGAGGUUUGGCACCUCGAUGUCGGCUCGUCGCAUCCUGGGGCUGUAGUCGGUCCCAAGGGUUGGGCUGUUCGCCCAUUAAAGCGGCACGCGAGCUGGGUUCAGAACGUCGUGAGACAGUUCGGUCCCUAUCCGUCGUGGGCGUAGGAAAUUUGAGAGGAGCUGUCCUUAGUACGAGAGGACCGGGAUGGACGCACCGCUGGUGUACCAGUUGUUCCGCCAGGAGCAUCGCUGGGUAGCUAUGUGCGGAAGGGAUAAGCGCUGAAAGCAUCUAAGUGCGAAGCCCCCCUCAAGAUGAGAUUUCCUUUGCGCAAGCAGUAAGACACCUCAAAGACGAUGAGGUAGAUAGGCUGGGAGUGGAAGUUCUGUGAAGAAUGGAGCGGACCAGUACUAAUCAGUCGAGGACUUGACCAA
rnacentral:rRNA from 1 species